AGAGGUGAGAGGGUGGAAGGAUCAAGCGAAAAGGAAAAAGGACUCAUGGACAUGGACAACAGUGUGGUGAUUUCUGUGGGGAGAGGAAA